CCCCAAACCACCAAAACCAGAAGAACCACGGAAACCAGACUUGCUACAACCGGAACGAGGAUGGAGGAGGAGGAGGGAGGAGCGGAGGAGUCUGUUACAGGAGAAACAAGAGCAGGAGAGUUCACAGGAUUAGAGGAGGUGCGGGUGUGGAGAUGAGCAGAAGGAUCUGUAGGAGACAUGAUGAAGAUGGUUCAGCCUGUUUAUUUUCAGCUCAGAAUAUUUAGCAUGCAGACUGGAGCCGCCAGGAAUCAAACUACCAACCUCCGGGGUCUUAACAGACGCCCCACUCUACCUCCUGAGCUGUGAGAGUGAAAGAAUGAAGGUGGGACUCACCGAGCAGGAGCAGAGAGGCAGCUGCAGCCUUCAUG
ensembl:lncRNA